GCGGAGCCAUAGUGAAGGCGUUAAACUGGUACCGCGACUGAGGGAGCAAGGGAUGCGGCGUGGUGCAGCUCCGAAGCCUGCUAACUGGCUACCUUCUCCGGCGUUCCUCCCGGCCGCAGGGAGGGCACUGGGUGGCAGCAGCGCCGGAGCCGGCGAGGCCCAGGCUCAUGUUGCCAUCAUCCGUACAGUCAGCCUUCUUCCUUUGGUCUUCCCAAAGCUCAACCAGGCAUCAGAUGAAGUCAGAGAGAAAAUUGGGGCCCUCAUGAAGAUUCUUAACUGAGGCCUGCCUGACACCUUGGAGCAAAGCGAACUGGUAGUCUACUGGAUUAUUGAAAACUUUUGAACUGUGUUCUACAAAGUAUCUGUAUCAUAGCUUCGUAGUCAACAUAUUCCCUCUAUACCCAAAGACACAGAAAGAAAGCCAGACAGCUAGACUGCCAUACACACACAUAUACACACCCACAUAAACACACACACACACACACAC